rnacentral:rRNA from 1 species
AUUGAACGCUGGCGGCAGGCUUAACACAUGCAAGUCGAGCGGGGUGAUGGUGCUUGCACUAUCACUUAGCGGCGGACGGGUGAGUAAUACUUAGGAAUCUGCCUAUUAGUGGGGGACAACAUCUCGAAAGGGAUGCUAAUACCGCAUACGUCCUACGGGAGAAAGCAGGGGAUCACUUGUGACCUUGCGCUAAUAGAUGAGCCUAAGUCGGAUUAGUUAGUUGGUGGGGUAAGGGGCUACCAAGGCGACGAUCUGUAGCGGGCCGGAGCGGAUGAACCACGCCACUGGGACUGAGACACGGCCCAGACUCCUACGGGAGGUAGCAGUGGGGAAUAUUGGACAAUGGGGGGAACCCUGAUCCAGCCAUGCCGCGUGUGUGAAGAAGGCCUUAUGGUUGUAAAGCACUUUAAGCGAGGAGGAGGCUCUUUUGGUUAAUACCCAAGAUGAGUGGACGUUACUCGCAGAAUAAGCACCGGCUAACUCUGUGCCAGCCGCCGCCGUAA